rnacentral:rRNA from 1 species
UACGAAGGGGGCUAGCGUUGCUCGGAAUCACUGGGCGUAAAGGGUGCGUAGGCGGGUCUUUAAGUCAGGGGUGAAAUCCUGGAGCUCAACUCCAGAAACUGCCUUUGAUACUGAAGAUCUUGAGUUCGGGAGAGGUGGAGUGGAAACUGCGAGUGUAGAGGGUGAAAUUCGUAGAUAUUCGCAAGAACACCAGUGGCGAAGGCGGACUCACUGGCCCGAUACUGAACGCUGAUGCGCGAAAAGCGUGGGGAGCAAACAGG